AUUUCAAUUAGAAGUAUUGCAUGUGCCUUGCAUAAAUAAUUUAUAACGAACAUCCGUUGUCAUGUUUAUUUUUAAAUCCUUAAUAAAUAAUGUUGGCACACAGAUACAUAAAACCAACUUCCGAGUGAUGGAUAUCCGUAAAUGUGAACGAACUCUUGAGUACACACUUUAAUGAGUAAACAGGCCAGACGGAGUAUUAGUAUAUUCGUCGUUAGGACAAAGUAUCAAGGAAGUCAAUCGUAAUUCAUAGCUCAUACCAUUUGCAGUCAUACAAUAUGCGAUGCACAGAUGAUUCAUCAAGUCUCCAACCCCAGAUGCAUUUUAUCACCCUUUUGACAGACAGCCAAAGAAAGAAAGUCGUAAAAACGGGAGCGUCAAAUAUAUAAACUCAAAACAAAAUUAUGAGGGAAGGAAGCCGCACAUUUGUAAAUACACGCAUACAUAUAAAUAUGCAUUUAAAGUAUGCACAUAUGAAUGCAAUAAAAUUAAAUGAAAUCUAAUAAAAUUGAAGAAUUUCAAAGUAAUUUUCAAGUGCAUAUUGCACUUAUAAGUAUCUACGUAAAUUUUGAGUGCAUAAUUGAUUAUUAGUUUCACAUACUUCACAAGAGCAGUAAUUUAAUGGCACAUAAAGCAUUUUUACAAUAACGAAAUGAUAUAAUAGUAAAAUAAUAAUAAGUAUAUGUGCAUAUCAAUGACCUCGUAUUAGCACUUUAAGUUAAAAUUCUAACAAACAAAAUGAUUUCACUUACUUCAAUGUCUGGCAAAUAAACUGUUCAGUUUUAUGACGUGUUGAUUAAAAUAUUGUCUUUAUCAGAAGGAAUGUAGUAAUUUUUUUAUUCAUUACUCAUUGAAAGUGUGAUAAGAAUUGCUUUUUAAUACCCAUAUUAGUAAUGCUAUGUAAACCAAAAUGAAUUUCCUUUUAUGGUAAUGUUCAACGCCACACAGCAAAAUCUAAUUAACCAUAUAUAUAUAUAAGCAUAUAUGAAUGUAUGAGCUUAUGAGCUUUACAUACAUAUGUAUAUAUAGAAAUAUUUAUAC